ensembl:lncRNA
GGGCGAGCCGCUGAGGCCAGGCUGACGUAGGGCCUUUGCCGAGAGCUGGACGGGGUGGGGAGGAGCCUGAGGAGCAGCGAGGAUUCACAUAGGUGGAGCGCGGACUGCUAGUCACGUGUUCGGCGUGAGGUUGCCUGGGGCGUGGGUGGGGCGCGCCGGCGCGCAGGCCCUCCCUGACUGACGCAGGCGCAGAGACCGCAGCGCGGGGCUGGGGGCGGAUCAGGCCUAGCGAGGGCCUCGCGCCUGGGCCGUGGGCGAGCCGUGGAGAGGCCCCGAGGUGUGGGAGUCCGUCCCCAGGCGGCAGUGGCGGCUCCUGGACGCUCCUUCCCAUUUUCUUUCCUUUCCCCCCAGUCUUCUCAGUGUGAUUUUCUUGACUCCGUUUUUUUGCUAAGAUUGACUUUGCCUCAGCAUCAACAAACUCUUCAUCUAAGAUUGGUUCCUGUGUGUCAUAUAUUUACAAGUCAGUGGAAAUUACAAGUCAGCACAUACAAGCUGAAAAGCCAAAUAAAGAAAUGUAAUCCUUCUCUUGACAGUUCUAAUUUAACUUGUAAGUUAAAUUUGGUGUUAGUUUAAAGUGGUUUAAAUGUGUAAUUACAGAACACAGUAUUACAGAUAAUCAGAGUAGUAAAUGAUUGAAAGUUUUCAGAACAUAUUUAAACAUACCACCUAAUAUUUAAUAUGGCUUAGUUGUGGAACGUGUGAAAAGCCCCACUACAUGUCUGUAGAACUCCUGUAGUGAAUGUACAUGAACAUUGCAGCAGUUCCUAAAUUGCAUUUUGCACACGACUAAGAAUUUGACUUGUAUGGCUUACAUUCAUGUUUUAAUGGUGAGUAUAUUUCCAAAGACAAGGAUCUGACUAGCGUGGGGAAUUGCAGAGCUGCUCUGCAUGCCAGAAUAAUUAUUUUCUCUCAUCACUGGAAGCAUUCCUGAGGCUUUUUUUUUUUUUUUUUUUUGCUAUCACUAGAGUCUGGAAUUUGAGUUAAGUCUCUCCACUGAUCAUGUUUAGAGGACAGAAACAAAAGUGACAGUUUCAUGCAGAUAAGGUUAUAGAUACGUAGCCUUUGAGUUUGCUGUUAAUUAUCAAUUUAUUCUUAACUAUUUGCAUAAUAUUAUACCUUUCAUUUUAGCUUUUUAAAAGUCUUCAAUAUGAAAAGUAUGUAAGAAUGAUCUUUUACAAUAUGCAUAUAAAAGACACAUAAGACAAAAAAAUGUCAUACCUUUGCCCUAUCAUUUGGGAAGUUAUUUAAGUGUUUUGUAAGCAAAUAUUUUAGCCUGCUUUCCUGUUGUGAGUUUUAUAAGAAACUUAUAAGUCUGUCUGCAUGUUCAUACAACUAAAAGGAAAUAUGAAGAAUAUUACUCAGCUUUUGUGAAUUGCAAGUAAAUAGCAUUCCAAAUAAUCCUUGUUUAUAUGGGUUAUAAACCAAGAAACAAUUUUCAUUACAGGAAAAGAACUACUACUCUGAUUUUGUGUGUGUGUGUGUGUGUGUGUGUGUGUUUGUGUGUGUGUUUUAAAGCCUCUAUGAUAAGGCAUUUUCUGAAUAAAGUGUUGCUUAUAGUUACAAAUUUCUAAAGUUUUGAUGAUUCAGUCUUGAGAUCGAAAAGAUUAAGAGGAUAUCUGUAAUAUUUGAGAAUUUGGGUUUAAGUACUUUUUAAAUGUCCCAUACAUUUGAAAGAUUUCUAAACAGUUUAUGUACAGUGGACAUGGUUAUUUUCAGUCCUGUUGGGACUUUAAGUCCGUUGAAAUUAGUAACCAAAUGUCUUUUUUGUUUUUAUGUUUUGAAAAGGGCUAAAGCCAGUUUUUAGGUUGACUUG